rnacentral:rRNA from 1 species
CCUACGGGGGGCAGCAGUGGGGAAUAUUGCACAAUGGGCGCAAGCCUGAUGCAGCCAUGCCGCGUGUAUGAAGAAGGCCUUCGGGUUGUAAAGUACUUUCAGCGGGGAGGAAGGCGAUAAGGUUAAUAACCUUGUCGAUUGACGUUACCCGCAGAAGAAGCACCGGCUAACUCCGUGCCAGCAGCCGCGGUAAUACGGAGGGUGCAAGCGUUAAUCGGAAUUACUGGGCGUAAAGCGCACGCAGGCGGUUGAUUGAGUCAGAUGUGAAAUCCCCGGGCUUAACCCGGGAAUUGCAUCUGAUACUGGUCAGCUAGAGUCUUGUAGAGGGGGGUAGAAUUCCAUGUGUAGCGGUGAAAUGCGUAGAGAUGUGGAGGAAUACCGGUGGCGAAGGCGGCCCCCUGGACAAAGACUGACGCUCAGGUGCGAAAGCGUGGGGAGCA